GACGAACGCUGGCGGCGUGCUUAACACAUGCAAGUCGAACGGGAAGGCCCGGCUUUUGUGGGGUGCUCGAGGGGCGAACGGGUGAGUAACACGUGAGUAACCUGCCCUUGACUGUGGGAGAACUUCAGGAAACUGGGGGUAAUCCCGGAUAGGAGCUCUUGCUGCAGGGUGGGGGUGGGAAAGUUUCGGCGGUUGGGGUUGGACUCGCGGCUUAUCAGGUUGAUGGUGGGGUAGUGUCUUAGCAAGGCCUGGACAGGUAGCCGACCUGGUAGGGUGACAGGCCACGUUGGGACUGGAAUGCGGCCCAGCCUCCUCCGGGAGGCAGCAGUGCAGUGUAUUACACUAUGGGCGGAAGCCUGAUGCAGCAACGCCGCGUGCCGGAUGACGGCCUUCGGGUUGUAUUCCACUUUCGCCUGUGACGAGGCGUGAAUGACAGUAAUGGGUGAAUAAGCUCCGGCUAACUACGUG
rnacentral:rRNA from 1 species